CUGCAGUGCAAAGGCCGAAACAAGGCAAAGCGAUUUCCACUUGGAAGAAAGAUUCACAUCAAAUUGACUGGUCAAGGAAAUGGGACACUGACUAACCACACGAUGAGACUGUUUUGAUGAGGAAUUUAAAGAUUAUGUGUCCCAUCCGUUUGACUCACAGUUUGGUACCAUAGUUUGGUACGAUCUUCGUUCGAGAAGGAAAAGGGAUGUUCCAGAUACAGAAAAUCGUCAAACCAUUUACUACAAAGUCCGUUUCUGGGUGGAGUUAGUGGAACCGACAAAGAUGUCUCCCUCACAGCGUUUGUGACAAAAGAAUUGCAUCGUUCCUUGGCGGCCUUUCAACAGAAGAAUAUUCAGAGAUUUCCCGAGUGGACACAAUCAUCGCCUUGGAAGCUUCAUCACGAUACUACUUUGCAUUUCUGAAGAGGGAAGAAGAAAUCAAUAUGCAAAUUCAAUUCCAUGGUUUUGGAAGUCCCAUGUGAGAACACGAUUCAUUUGCGCCGGCAUAAUGCUCUGACCGAGAAAGAAUUGAAGUUUCCACUUGGAAGAAAGAUUCACAUCAAAUUGACUGGUCAAGGAAAUGGGACACUGACUAACCUUACGAUGAGACUGUUUUGAUGAGGAAUUUAAAGAUUAUGUGUCCCAUCCAUUUGACGCACAGUUUGGUACCAUAGGUUGGUACGAUCUUCGUUCAUGAAGGAAAAGGGAUGUUCCAGAUACAGAAAAUCGUCAAACCAUUUACGACAAAGUCCGUUUCUGGGUGGAGUUAGUGGAACCGACAAAGAUGUCUCCCUCACAGCGUUUGUGACAAAAGAAUUGCAUCGUUCCUUGGCGGCCUUUCAACAGAAGAACAUUCAGAGAUUUCACGAGCGGACACAAUCAUCGCCUUGGAAGCUUCAUCAUGAUACUACUUUGCAUUUUUGAAGAGGGAAGAAGAAAUCAACAUGCAAAUUCAAUUCCAUGGUUUUGGAAGUCCCAUUGAGAACACGAUUCAUUUGCGCCAGCACAAUGC